rnacentral:sRNA from 1 species
AAAGGUCCAUGUAUCGCUGAGCUGGCGAGUAUUUGUCCUUAUAAAAGAAUCGGAGAGCAUACAUCUGAUUAAACAAGGUAUAAACCAACUCUAAAAGAAAAGGUAAACAAUUCUGUAACUGUCAAGAGAAAAGACAUCGUUAUGUUAUACGAAGACUUAAACCUCAAAACUCCUUACAUUUGAAUGCUGUCUUACGGGAAAAUAGCUUCACCAAAUAGAACUGUGAUAAAAUCAAGUUAACAAACUUUGAAAUGUAUGAUUUGGAUGUAGAGACGGCUUGAUGCUAUACGACAGAGAUGGAAUUCAUAAACCAACGUGUUUGUCAGCGUCAUUAGAUCUGUACUGUGUUAUUGUAACGGUCUAUCUAUAAUAACUGAAGCUGAGAACCGAGAAUAUAUAACUAAGCAAUUUUUGUACAGGACGACAAGCUUCUUAACAGCCUUUUCCACAAAAAUAUGGCUAACAGAAAUUUGAAAACCAUGAUAUUUUUGUCAUUUUAGUACAAAAGAACAUUAUAUUAAAAAAAAUUCAACAUGAAAAAUGCAGCUCAUAUUACUUUAAUUGAAAGAAAAAAUCUCAUUACAUUUAUCUUAUUUUCAAACAUAAAUGUAUACUUACUCGUGAAUUAACGUGAAUUAACGCUCGGACUUUGUGGGUGUUCCUUCCUCCAUCCAUGCGGGGGAUUCUCUAGUUCCCUCAAGCGAAUUGAAAUCAAUUUAACAAAACACGGCGGGUUUUUUUUAGAGUAGGUAUCAUCGAUAUCUAUACGGAAAAAAUAGUAUAUCAUCGAUAUAAUGCAGUUAGUAUUUUACAAUACAUUUACACUACGGUGAAUUAAUAAAAACACAUACCUACUGUCCAAGAGACAGUAGCUGCCGACGCUGGAACUACGAAGAAAAAAAAGGUGUAAAAACAACGGGUCUUAAAAAGAAAUCUCUAUUUAAAUUCAAAUACAUUAAACGUAUACAUUUGUGUAGUAACUCACUCAUCGUGGAUUGUGAUGAUUUCAAUCCUUUUGCUGUCAAAAAAAUGUUUAAAAAUAGUGUGAGUAAUUCUAAUAAAUUAAUUAAUUUGUAAUUAAUUUGGAAUUAAUCUUUUCAAAUACAUUAAACGUAUAAUUUGUGGAGUAACUUACUCAUCAUGGAUUAUGAUGAUUUCAAUCCUUUUGCUGUCAAAUAUUUUUUUUAAAAAAUUGUGUGAGUAUUUGUAAUGAAUUAGUUAAUUUGUUAUUAAUUUGGAAUUAAUCUUUUUUAAAAACAUAACUCAGUGACAAAAAUAUUUUAUUUAAAAAAAAAUCAUACUAACGUUGGUCUAAUCGGCGCAUUGGGGGGUAAUCUAAUUAAAAAUGAAAACUAAGUAUCAGACUGUUUUCAGCUUGCAGCACUAUGAAUUACGAGUUUAUAUAUUUCAAAGGAAUAAAAUCAAAUUUAAUUUACUGACCCGAUCGUUAGCGACGGAGUGGAGGGGCUGAAGUUGAGAGUUUAUGUAUAAAAUUUAGAUAGACGUAUAUUUUUAAAACAAUUUCC